UUCAGGUCAUGGGUUCAAGAUGGCUCCAUUGGUUGGAAGGAUUUUAGCGGACAUGGCUCUUUGUGGGGAGGCUAAAGGAGUGAAUCUCAAGCACUUCAGGAUACAAAGAUUUCAAGAGAAUCCUAAAGGGAAUGUCAAGGACUUCUGAACAUCGAAUUGGCUUUUCUUCCAAUCACAAGUAGGUAAUGUAGCAAAAUAGGACUUCUAUUGCCAUUGGUACCUAUGGUCCAUGUCCUCUAUCCCAUCAGGAUUCUAG
rnacentral:misc_RNA from 1 species